rnacentral:rRNA from 1 species
AUGCACGCCAAGACGGACUCGGAGGUGACGAGCCUGGCUCCAUCCUCCCCAGCGCGCUCCCCGCCGCGGGCGGCCGCCAGCAACAACGCCGGGGGCGGCGGCGGGGUGAUGCGCGGCUCGGUGUACUACGUGCAGAGCCCGUCGCGGGACUCGCACGACGGGGAGACCACCACCAAGGGGGCAACCUCCGUGCACUCCACGCCCGCGCUCAGCCCCAUGGCCUCGCCCCGCCACUCCCACUCCUCCGUCGGCCGCGACUCCUCCUCCAGCCGCUUCUCCCGCGGCGCCGCCCACCACAAGGACAAGUCCGGGGGCGGCCGCAAGGGCGCGCCGCCGGGCAAGGGGUGGCAGGAGAUCGGGGUCAUCGAGGAGGAGGGGCUGCUCGACGAGGAGGACCAGCGCCGCCCCAUGCCCAAGCGCUGCAAGUACUGCCUCAUCUUCGUCGGCGGCUUCGCGGUGCUCUUCACCUUCUUCGCGCUCGUGCUCUGGGGCGCCAGCCGCUCCCAGAAGCCGCAGAUCGCCAUGAAGAGCAUCACGUUCGAGAACUUCAUCAUCCAGGCCGGCACGGACGCGUCGCUGGUGCCGACGGACAUGGCCACCACCAACGCGACCGUCAAGUUCACCUACAAGAACACCGGCACCUUCUUCGGCAUCCACGUCACCGCCGACCCCUUCACGCUGUCCUACUCCCAGCUCAACCUCGCCGCCGGAGACCUCAAGAAGUUCUACCAGGGGCGGAGCGGGCGGCGGACGGCGAGCGUGAACGUGAAGGGGAACAAGGUGCCGCUGUACGGCAGCGGGCCGACGCUGAUGGCGCAGCCGGCGGGGGGCAAGGGCGGCGCCGGCAAGGUGAUCCCGGUGCCGAUGGUGCUGCGGACGACGGUGCGGUCGCAGGCGUACGUGCUGGGGGCGCUGGUGAAGCCCCGGUUCACCAAGGAGGUGGAGUGCAAGGUGGUGAUGAACCCCGCCAAGCUCAACAAGCCCGUCUCCCUGGAGAAGGCCUGCAAAUACUCAUGA